CAUCAUUUGUGAAGCAUACCAAUUUGAUUUUCUCUCCAGGCUAAAGCAUGUGCCAACGCUAGCAUUGCUUGUCUGAAGAAUCUCAAUAGGAGGACUGUUGAUGUUUUGGCUUCUAGGCUAUACUCGUAUUACUCAUAUGCACAUGAACUCACCAACAGCCUUGCUGAAAUUCGUGGCAUGGCAACUUUGCACCGUGAUGAGCUUGGCCAGGAAACACUUCUUAACCUGCUUCUUCGCAAUUACCUGCACUACAACUUGUCCGACCAGGCAGAAAAACUUAGGUUAAAGGCACCACGUUUUGAAGCACAUUCCAAUCAGCAGCGAGAAGUUUUAUCAACAAGGCCUGGAGGAUUAGGCUUGCCAUGGACGUGGCAGUGACAGUCAACCGCAGCCUGCAUCGAUGCACCGGGCUUACUUCUCCACUUCAGAUCCAAGUUUCCUUUUACCUUGUGCAAUCCAAUUGUCACCACUAUUCCAGUCCAAAAUCUUGUCUAAAAUGUUCCAAAGUGCUCCAGUCAGGUUCAGGUGGAAUGUGACGCAAAAUAAGAAUUUUAAUGGGGAAACCACCUAGAUUGGAACCAGCGGAAUAGGUUACAGCAGUUCUGAGGGCCACUGCAUAUAACACCUAUCCAGCAAAAUGGGCAAUGCUCGGUUUUGUUCAAGUCUGAUUGAGUCUCCACAUACGUAUUGAAUUAGGUCUGAAGUUGCGUUUUGACGUCUCCUACGCUGCAGUGGUUUUGUACCCCAUGUGCGGCACGUCUGCAGCCUCCUCUUUCUGCCCUACAACAACCGUCUACUUUCUGUCUUUCUAAGCCACGGUUACUUUUUUCAGUCACAGUAAGGAUUUUGGAGACGGAAAGGAUUAGAAUUUGUGUGGUUAUUUAGGGAACCCACCGUUUUUAAAGUUGUGCACACAAUCACGUAAAACCACAGAGCCAUUUGGCAUUCGGAGAACUGAAUAAAAUUUCAUUUUUAGUUUCUGCUGCAUAAGGUUGUUGAACAGAUAUAGAUCUACAUG